UCUAGUUACUUUUAGUUUAUAUACCUUUCAUAAAAUUAAAAAAAUACAAAAAUAGUACCUUAUUUUUAUUUUAAUAUGAUAUUUAAAAAUACCAAAAUAGUUGAUUUUGCAUUUUUAGAUAAAUUUUAGAAGGAACUACCUAAUAUUUUUCAUAUAAUACAUUUAGAUUUAUUGAGUCUAGAUUUGAAUUGACUUCAAAGAAAUUUAGCCCAUUUUUGGAUGUUCUUGGGCCCAAAUUUGGGCAGUCCACCCCUCACCCUUCAUUAACCCAAAACUCUUAAAAAAUUCCUAACCUAGACACCCUAAGAUCAGGAACAAAAUACACUUAUAGAGCGACAAAAAAUCUGAGACUCCCUUCAUCCUCGAGCGUCGUUGCUUCUCCCAGACUCACCUUCCAAAAUCAGCCAUUAAAACCAUCUUCUUCCUCCUAAAACAACCUCGAAAUUACCCCUGAAAAACCGUAAGAAUCGCGCUCAACCCAGCCCAAUAAACACGUCAAAGCUAAGCCAAAAAUCCAUGAAAACGAGCUCCCAAAAACGCCACCACAGGCUCAAUUCGAGUCGACGAGCUGUCCGUUUGCAACUCCAAGAGGUUCUGUUCGAGUUUUCUCCGGCUCGGUCGUGGUCGUUUGGUUGAGUUUAGUUGUCGAUUCAUCUUAACUAUCGUAGUCUAAAAGAUUUCACAAUGUCAAUCGAGAAUUCCGAGCUCUCCACGGAGCAGGUAAUCUCUCACUUGCGUGCGUUAUGAAUUUAGAAUUUCGCUCUAAUGAUUAGGCUGUGAUUUCCACCAUCACCAUAUUGAGCAUGUACUCCCAAAAUAUCUAGGUUUGUGGUUGUUAGUUGUUUUCUUUUUUCAUUCAUUGACUUUCUUCUUCUGCAAAGGCUAAUAAUAGCUUGUAUCUUUAAAUAAAAGAAACUGGAAAGAAACCUGUGCAUUAAAUGAUUGAUUAAGAUACAUGGAUUUUUUUUCAAAUUUAAUUAGUCGUUGACUUGGUAGUUGCACGUUAUUUGACAUAGAAAGGUUCUUUAUUCUUGGGAUUUUUUUUAUGUGAAGCUAACCCAAAAUGCCAACAAGGCUAUAAGCUAGUGCAUCUUUUCCAUAAAUAAUUUAAUUCAUUCCUUCCACAAUAAAUUCCAUAGCCAUGACCUCAUAACUUAUCUCAAAUUAGUGUAGGAAAAUAACUUGUGAAUAUUCGUAAGAUAUUUUUUAGGUGAGCUUUAAUCUAUCAUCGUGAUUGUGUACACGUUCGCGUGAUACAAUUACGAUUUUCAAAAUAAAUCAAGGUACGCGUUCGCACGACUUUUGCCAAGCUUUCUUAAAAUAAUUAAGUAUUGUAAAUUGUGUACACAUACGGGUGACAUGAUUCUUGACGCGCCAAACAAAAAGAGUACACGUACGCUUGAUUCGUUUCAAGAUAAUUCCAUAAUCAUGAAUAAUCAAGUAUUAAAAGCGGUAAAAAAGGGUAAAACGCGCAUAUGUUCUAAAAAAAGUAAUUGAAUUAUUUAAUUAAGCCAAGUAUAAAUUGCUAAGUGACCGUGCUAAAACCAUGAAAUCCGAGAAUGCCUAACACCUUCUCCCGGAUUAACAGAAUUCCUUACCUAGUUUUUCUGGUUUCGCAAACUUUAAACGAAGUCAAAUUUUCCUCGAUUUGGUAUUUAAAAUAAAACUGGUGACUUGGGACACCAUAAAAUUAUUUCAAGUGGUGACUCUGAAUUAAAUAAAUAAACUCAUUUCGAUUAAUGUCACUUUAAUUGGAAAAACUCCCUUAUAUCCCCUUUCAGGUAAAAAGGAGGUGUGACAGCUCUGGCGACUUUGCUGGGGAACAAGAACCCAAAAUCUCUAGUUUAGGGUUCAAGAAUUCGAGCUUGUUAAUGUGAUUCUUACUUGGCUUUAUUAAUUGUUGAUAUUACUGUAUUUUGUGAGCCUAAUGUGCUAAUUGCCGCUUAUUUACUGCUUUGAUAUUAUUUGAACUCUAUUAAACUGUCUUCUUACGCCUCCCUUCCGAGUCUUCUAAAAAAAUAGUUCACACGUUCGCGUGACCCGCUUUUCUGUUAGAGGUCGUACCAAAUAGAAUGAGGAUGGAUCAGCCACUAGGCCGGGUAGACUUUCGUUCUCCCGGUACGUCGCUCCCACCUCGGCUCAAGUUGUCCGCUUGGGUAAGCUAGAUCUAGAACACAUCCCCAUGUUUAAAUCUAGAAUAACAUAGCCUCAUGUUGGAUCCUUAGUAAGAUCGUUUGUUUGCAUCACGUGCAUUUGAUUUUGAGGACUCAAAACAAGGGUUGGGUCCGUUUAGGACAUGUGUACCCGAAAUGAAAGACCAUCCUGAUGCAUCUUGCGUGCUAUUUGUACAUUUAUUUGCUUCGACUUGUAUAUUGACCGACUAAGUAAAGAAAAACAACAGAAAAACCAAGUGUGAGGUAGGAUAGAGAAUUCACCCUGUUCUGAAAACCCAGUAUUUGAAAAUUCCUCAAAACUCUGCCAAAAUUUUUGAAAAAAAGAGGAAAAGAAGAUGUAUUUCAGAAAAAAUAAAAUGAAA
rnacentral:lncRNA from 1 species